GACCCGUGUCUGCAAAUCAGUGUGUUUCAUUCUCUGUAGAAAAUUCAAAACUGCAAUUAUACCAUGAAAGAUGGGGACAUCAAGAUAAACGGCAUGUAAAGGAGAGAUUAGAAAAGGAGAUGGGAAUUCGAGUAAAGAACAACAGUGAAAUCUGUGAGCCUUGCGUUUUUGGUAAGUUGUCAAGUUUACCAUUUGGAAGACGUGAGACUGCAAAAGCUCCAGGAGAAUUAAUAUCGACAGAUGUUUGCGGACCAUUUCCCUCUUCAUUUAGAGAAUAUAAAUAUCUUGUCGUUUAUAAGGAUGAUUACACAAAAUUUCGUUAUGGAUAUGUUGUGAAGAACAAAUCAGAUGUGAAGGAUACAUUAAUAAAAAUGCUUGCACAUGCCAGAUCUCAAGGACACACAGUUAAAACAUUGCUUAGUGAUAAUGGUGGUGAAUUCAACAAUGCAGAAGUGAAGAAAAUUCUGGCAAAACAUGGAGUAAGUCAACGGUUUACCGCUCCAUAUACACCUCAACAGAACGGUGGUGCUGAGAGAGAAAAUAGAACCAUUGUAGAGAUGGCAAGAACAUUCAUGAACUCAAACAAGAAUGUUGAAUUUCCUUUGUCGUUAUGGGCCGAAUUUGUGAAAUCAGCCAUAUAUAUUUUAAAUCGAACGGGAAAAUCGUCAGAAAAGGAUAAAAGUCCAUUUGAGCUAUGGUGCGACAAGAAACCUAGAAUUAAACACCUAAGAAUUAUUGGAUCAAAAUGCUAUGUUCAUGUUCCCCGUCAGCGUAGGAAGAAAAUGGACAAGAAGGCAAUAGUAGGUUAUCUUGUUGGUUAUGACGGCGAUGAGAGAUAUCGUGUCUAUAUUAAAGAACAAAAUAUAGUAGAAAUAUCAAGAGAUGUGAUAUUUUCCGAAGAAAUAAAUGGUUGUGCUAAUGAAGAAGUUAAAGAAGAUGAAGUUGUGAAUGAGCAAAACAACAAGAAUUCCAAUAAUAUCCAAGAAAAAAAAUGGGAAAGAAAUAUCAAUACGCAUCGGUCCAUAUAAUCACGAAGGUGAAGAACAAGAUGAAUACCAACAAGAAUUAGUUAAAGAGAAAGCGGUGCAAGAUGCCGAACCGCUAGAAAGCCACAACGAAAAUCAAGAUUUCACAAAUGAUAUAGAGGAUUUCGAAGAGCAAGAUGCCGAACUCCAAGAUGGCGACAACGAAAAUCAAGAUUCGACAAGUGAUUUAGAAGACUUUGAAGGAUUUGAAGAAAUCCAACGUAAAAAGCGUCGAAGAGAUGAAUUAGAUGAUACGUGCGAUAAUACUAUUGUGAAACGCUUAAGAAAUCGUACUGUAAUUAUAUCAAAUUGUGUCAGCGAUGAGAUGGUGAUGAUGGCACAUGAUUUUGUUUGUCAAACCGAACCUCCAUCAAGAUAUUUAGAAGCUGUUGAAAGUGAAGAGAGAAUCAAUUGGAUACAAGCCAUGAAAUCAGAGAUGAAUUCAUUGCUUGAGAACAAAACUUGGGUACUCACGAAUCUUCCUAAUGGAGCAAAGGCACUUCCCUCGAAAUGGGUAUAUCGUGUGAAGACAAAAUCAGAUGGCACCAUUGAAAAGUACAAGGCAAGACUGGUUGUAAAAGGAUUUAAACAAAAGGAAGGUGAAGAUUAUGAUGAAACUUUCAGUCCAGUAGCAAGAAUGUCUAGUAUACGCUCUGUCCUAAGUAUUGCUGCAACUGAAAGACUACAUUUGUCACAAUUUGAUGUGUCUACAGCCUUUUUAUACGGUGAAUUGAACGAGACCGUGUACAUGGAACAGCCAGAAGGUUUUAACGAUGGAUCAAAUAGAGUUUGUCUGUUAAAACGAAGUCUCUAUGGUUUGAAGCAAGCACCCAGAUGUUGGAACAAAAGAAUGGGAGAUUUCUUAAAGAAACAUGGAUUUAAGGCCAACUCUGCAGAUAGCUGUUUGUUUAUAAGAGAGAAAGAUGGUAAAAAGUUAAUCCUUGCUCUCUAUGUCGAUGAUGGUUUAGUAGCUGCAUCAGACAAAGAAGAACUUGAGCAUUUUCUCAACAGUUUAAAAUCAGAGUUCAAGAUCGUUUCUAAUGAAGCUUCAUACUUUCUUGGUAUAAAAAUUGAAAACAGCAAUGAUCAAAUUAGAAUCUCGCAAAAGUCUUAUGCCAAGAAAAUUUUGGAAAGAUUUAAUUUCUCAGAGUGUCGUCCAGUUUCAACACCAAUGGAAAAUACAGUCAAAUGCAUUUCAAAACCAGGGAAAGCACGAAUCGAGUUUCCUUAUAGACAAGCUGUAGGUGCUCUGAUGUAUUUGAUGCUAGGAACAAGACCAGAUUUGGCAUAUAGUGUCGGUUAUCUAUCAAGACACCUUGACAACUACACUUGUGAAGAUAUUCAAAAGCUCAAGCGAGUAUUCAGAUAUAUAGCUGGUUCCAAAGAUGUUGGAAUAGCUUAUAAUAAAGAAGGACCCAAGCUAUUAGAAUGUUACAGCGAUGCUGACUAUGGUGGAUGUGUCACUACAGGACGUUCUACAACAGGUGUUGUUGCAACUUAUGCAGGUGGAGCUUUAUCUUGGAUGAGUCAACGACAACCAACAGUGUCAACUUCAACAACUGAAGCAGAAAUUAUAGCUGCAAGUGAAGCCGCAAAAGAAGUAAUAUGGCUUACACGACUUUUCAAGGACAUAAUAAAUUAUAAGGACAUUCCAAUUAUAAAUAUAGACAAUGCAGCUGCGAUUCGUCUAUCAAAGAAUCCAGAAUUUCAUAAACGAACAAAGCACAUUGAUCUAAAACACUUCUUCGUACGUGAAAAGGUAACAGAAGGUUUAUUGUCAACGACUCAAGUUUCAACUGAAAAUCAACUCGCAGAUAUGAUGACCAAGCCUUUACCAAAGUCACGUUUACAGUACUUGUGUACUCGUUUAAAUAUAAUUUAAUUAAACAAGGGAAAGUGUUGAAGUAUAUGUUUAACAAAUUAAUAUCUACUUGUAUCGUUCUUUGUUAUUAUGUUACUAGGCAAUGAUUUUAUGUAUUUGUAUGUUCGAGAAAUUAUUUUUUCAAACUUCACUUCAAUAAAACUUUUCAAUCUAAUAUUUAUCUAGUCAUUCCGUUUGUAGCACCUCGAAAUAUUCAUCUAAGACUCCAUAAACACGCCGUUUAGAAUUUGAGCGACGCAGAAAGGAGCAUUACAAAGAGUUUGAGGCAGUGAAACUGGCACGAAAACUCAUCGAAGAA